AUGAUCCAAAAACUGGUGAGACAACAACCAAGGAACCUCAUGUCUACGCAGAGAAUGGUCUCUUACAAAACAUGCCUGAGUCUUCUGUGCCAGCAACUCCUUUGGAUGGCUACCAGGAAUAUGUUGGUUCUUAGAAACAGCUUUGGGUUUCCUAGCUUUUAUUAUAACAGCUCAUGGAUACACCCUCCAGUCACAAUGGUAUUGGUAGAGGACUUGUGAAGCCAUGCGCCAAGGCAGGCCAACUGCACCUAGGGAGAUCUAAAUGAUUAUCCAGAUAAUAUGAAAUGGAAAUUCUUUUCAGACAUUGCUAAGCAGCUUGGAUAAAAUAAAAAGAAACUUCUGAACCA
rnacentral:lncRNA from 1 species